AGUCAUGACAGGCACUCCAACACUCUGUCAGACAAGCUCCACGAGGUCCUUGUCUCGGCAAAGGGUCAAGGUAUAUGGUGGCAGAUGUUGGGCUCCUCACAGGUCAGCUCUGUGGGAGCGGCAGGAGUUGUCUGCAGUCCCAUGUGGAGGAGGAUUUUAGGAGCCAGGUGCUAGAUCAGCAGAGUCUGUGCUUGAUUAGUAAUGUCUGCCAUGGGGAGGUGAGAUGGCAUUGCAGGGCCACCGAGUCAGCCAGCACCAGGGAAACUGCUUUGUAGCGAGGUCUGUGUUUAUGGUGCCCCCCGCCCCUUAUAGCCGCACAGCGUGGAGCCCUGUGCCAUCUGAUGCUCUUAGUCGUUCAGUGGCUUCUCAUUCAAUUUAGAACCAUUCCCAAGCCCUCCCUCCGGGGUCUACAUAAGCCUGCACGGUCUGGCCUUGGCCAUCUCACCCUGUCGCCAGGGUCCCCCCGGGCAGUUCUGCUAAUAUCAAAUAGACCAGCAGCCUCCCAUCGCAGCUCUCUGCCCUUGCUGCCUCCUCUCCUUGGGUUGUCUUCUUGCAAGUAGAGCUCUCGCUCCAUUCAGGUUUGUCUCUGCUCUCUGUUCCUUCCAAGGAGGCCUUCUUUGGUUUGACCACCCAAAUGAGACAGCUUUUCCCGCCGCCCCCUUCUGUGUGCUCUGGCUCCUGGCUCUGCUUUCCAGCUUCAGUCCUCAUCCCCGCAGUGGUUAUCUUACCCCCUUUUCUGUUUUCUGUUCCCCCAGGAGAGGUGAGCUUCAGGAGAGGAGGGACUCUGGGUUCAGUGCUGUGUUCCCAGGACCUAGAACAGCGGGGUCUCGCUCCCUCUCGAAAAUCAAGGUCUGGCUAGUGCGUGAGUUGGAGAAGAAGUUCAGUGGGAAGCACGCUGUCUUUAUCACUCAGAAGAGAAUUCUGCCUAAGCCAACUUGGAAAAGUCAUACAAAAGAAAUAAUAGUAACAAGCAAAAGCCUCCCAGGAGCCACACUCUGACCACCAUGCAUGAUGUGAUCCCAGAGAAUUUGGUUUCCCCAAGUGAGACUGAGCAAGAGAAUUCGUGUGCAACUAGAUGGCAGCUGUCUCCU
rnacentral:lncRNA from 1 species